UGGGGAAUUUUGGACAAUGGGCGAAAGCCUGAUCCAGCAAUGCCGCGUGUGUGAAGAAGGCCUUCGGGUUGUAAAGCACUUUUGUCCGGAAAGAAAUCCUUGGCUCUAAUACAGUCGGGGGAUGACGGUACCGGAAGAAUAAGCACCGGCUAACUACGUGCCAGCAGCCGCGGUAAUACGUAGGGUGCAAGCGUUAAUCGGAAUUACUGGGCGUAAAGCGUGCGCAGGCGGUUUGCUAAGACCGAUGUGAAAUCCCCGGGCUCAACCUGGGAACUGCAUUGGUGACUGGCAGGCUAGAGUAUGGCAGAGGGGGGUAGAAUUCCACGUGUAGCAGUGAAAUGCGUAGAGAUGUGGAGGAAUACCGAUGGCGAAGGCAGCCCCCUGGGCCAAUACUGACGCUCAUGCACGAAAAGCGUGGGGAGCAAAACGGGAUUAGAUACCCUGGUAGUCCACGCCCUAAAAGCGAUGUCAACUAGUUGUUGGGGAUUCAUUUUCCUUAGUAACGUAGCUAACGCGUGAAGUUGACCGCCUGGGGAGUACGGUCGCAAGAUUAAAACUCAAAGGAAUUGACGGGGUCAUAGCUGUUU
rnacentral:rRNA from 1 species